rnacentral:rRNA from 1 species
AUGUUGAUAGCAUGGCCGCACGCGAGCGGCAUCGCGGCGCUGGUUAGGUCAGCGCACCCUUCAUGGAGCCCGGCGAUGGUGCGGUCGGCGAUCAUGAAGACGGCCGACGUGACGGACCGGCAGGGCAAGCCGAUAACUGACGGCGGGGAGCGCGCCGACGCGUUCGCCAUGGGCGUUGGACACGUGAACCCGGCUCUCGCCGUUGACCCAGGCCUCGUCUACGACAUCGAGCCAGCCGACUACGUGACGGACCUCUGCACGCUCGGGUACACGCAGAGAGAGGUGUUCAAGAUCACACACAGUGCCAUCAACUGCAGCGAACUGCUCCACGAGAACCCGGGGUUCACGCUCAACUACCCGUCGAUCGCGGUGGUGUUUAAGGAUGGCGGUGGCAAGACCUCGGCGGUGUUCCGGAGGACGGUCACCAACGUGGGCGCACCCAACUCGAUGUACACAGUGCGGGUGGGCGCGCCGGCAGGGUGA